GUACAUGAUGGACCCGCGUCUGAUUAGGUAGUUGGUGAGGUAGUGGCUCACCAAGCGAACGAUCAGUAGCCGGCCUGAGAGGGUGAACGCCCACAUUGGGACUGAGACACGGCCCAAACUCNUACGGGAGGCAGCAGUGGGGAAUAUUGCACAAUGGGGGAAACCCCUGAUGCAGCGACGCCGCGUGAGUGAUGAAGUAUUUCGGUAUGUAAAGCUCUAUCAGCAGGGAAGAAAAUGACGGUACCUGACUAAGAAGCCCCGGCUAACUACGUGCCAGCAGCCGCGGUAAUACGUAGGGGGCAAGCGUUAUCCGGAUUUACUGGGUGUAAAGGGAGCGCAGACGGACUGCCAAGUCUGAUGUGAAAUGUCGGGGCUCAACCCCGAAGCUGCAUUGGAAACUGGUCAUCUGGAGUGCAGGAGGGGUAAGCGGAAUUCCUAGUGUAGCGGUGAAAUGCGUAGAUAUUAGGAGGAACACCGGUGGCGAAGGCGGCUUACUGGACUGUAACUGACGUUGAGGCUCGAAAGCGUGGGGAGCAAACA
rnacentral:rRNA from 1 species